AUGAGAUCAUUAUAUACAUAUAUGGAAGUUCUGAUAUUUUGUGGGGAAUGCUGCCUGGUCCAAGGACCUUCAUUUAACACAAAUACUUCAAUUACUGAUAUAUCAUAUAGUUUGAGUUUGUUACUAUCUCUUUCUCGGACCAGGCUUCAUUCCCCUCAAUUACACCUUCCUUCUACAAAUUACUUCAACUUCUUCAUUGGUGGAUCUCUUUAUUAA